AACGAACGCUGGCGGCAGGCUUAACACAUGCAAGUCGAACGGGUGUAGCAAUACAUCAGUGGCAGACGGGUGAGUAACACGUGAGAACCUUCCUAGGGGUACGGAACAACUCAGGGAAGCUUGAGCUAAUACCGUAUACGUCCGUGAGGAGAAAGAUUUAUCGCCCUUAGACGGGCCCGCGUCGGAUUAGCUAGUUGGUGGGGUAACGGCCUACCAAGGCGACGAUCCGUAGCUGAUCUUAGAGGAUGAUCAGCCACACUGGGACUGAGACACGGCCCAGACUCCUACGGGAGGCAGCAGUGGGGAAUCUUGGACAAUGGGCGCAAGCCUGAUCCAGCCAUGCCGCGUGAGUGAAGAAGGUCUUCGGAUUGUAAAGCUCUUUUGCCAGGGACGAUAAUGACGGUACCUAGAGAAUAAGCCCCGGCAAACUUCGUGCCAGCCGCCGCCGUAA
rnacentral:rRNA from 1 species